GCAGUCGACGAUAUAGUGGCAGACGGGUGAGUAACGCGUGGGAACGUACCUUUCACUACGGAAUAGCUCUUGGAAACGAGUGGUAAUACCGUAUACGCCCUUCGGGGGAAAGAUUUAUCGGUGAAAGAUCGGCCCGCGUUAGAUUAGCUAGUUGGUAGGGUAAUGGCCUACCAAGGCGACGAUCUAUAGCUGGUCUGAGAGGAUGAUCAGCCACACUGGGACUGAGACACGGCCCAGACUCCUACGGGAGGCAGCAGUGGGGAAUCUUGCACAAUGGGCGAAAGCCUGAUGCAGCCAUGCCGCGUGAAUGAUGAAGGCCUUAGGGUUGUAAAAUUCUUUCGCUAGGGAUGAUAAUGACAGUACCUAGUAAAGAAGCCCCGGCUAACUUCGUGCCAGCAGCCGCGGUAAUACGAAGGGGGCUAGCGUUGUUCGGAAUUACUGGGCGUAAAGCGCACGUAGGCGGACUUUUAAGUCAGAUGUGAAAUCCCGGGGCUCAACCUCGGAACUGCAUUUGAAACUG
rnacentral:rRNA from 1 species